UGGCGGCGUGCCUAAUACAUGCAAGUCGAACGGUCUUUCUAUGGAAGCUUGCUUCCACUGAGAAGAUAGUGGCGAACGGGUGAGUAACACGUGGGUAACCUGCCCAUAAGAGGGGGAUAACAUCCGGGAACGGGUGCUAAUACCGCAUAGUUUUCUUGAUUGCAUGAUCGGGAAAGGAAAGACGGCCUUUGUGCUGUCGCUUAUGGAUGGACCCGCGGCGUAUUAGUUAGUUGGUGAGGUAACGGCUCACCAAGACGAUGAUACGUAGCCGACCUGAGAGGGUGAUCGGCCACAUUGGGACUGAGACACGGCCCAAACUCCUACGGGAGGCAGCAGUAGGGAAUCUUCCGCAAUGGACGAAAGUCUGACGGAGCAACGCCGCGUGAGUGAAGAAGGUUUUCGGAAUCGUAAAACUCUGUUGUCAGAGAAGAACAAGUUGGAGAGUAACUGCUCCAGCCUUGACGGUAUCUGACCAGAAAGCCACGGCUAACUACGUGCCAGCAGCUGC
rnacentral:rRNA from 1 species